CGCGGUGUUGUGCUGUUUUGUAAACCUCAGAGUGAGGUUCUGCCUGCCGGAGGCCGCAGUGGUGCGGAGACCCCCGGGUGAAUCCACGUCACCAUGUCUGACCAAAACUCAAAGAAUCAUACUGUCUGGGAAUGGAGGAAGAAGAUGUGAUUGAAGUUUAUCAGGAACAAACGGGGGGUCACUCGACGGUUUAGAUAAUUCUUUUUAUUUUUUAUUUUUCCUUUCCCUCAAUCCUUUUUUAUUUUUAAAAAUAGUUCUUUUGUAAUGUGGUGUUCAAAAUGAAAAUUGAAUACUGGCACUCCAUCUCUUAGAACAUAUGAAUUCUAGUGUUCAAUAUUCAUUAUUGGUUGUUUUUGUUGUGCUGAUUUUUGGUGAUCAGACCUCAGCUCCCUUAAUACUGCCCUUUUUCCUUUAAGAGAUUUCAUGUGUGCACAGAGAGGCCACCCUUUUCAGGACUGUGCAUUUUCAGGUUUGUGAUGAUAAAAAGAUCGACCAAUGGGAGCUUUCCUAUGACCUUUCAAUUGGCUCUGAAGUUCCAGCAUGUGGUUGCUUCACUCCUGGACUGUGAUUUUCAGUGGGAGAUGGAAAUUUUUCAGAGAACUGAACUGUGGAAAAUGACCUUUCCUCAGCUUGAAGCUACUUUUAAAAUCUGCGGGUCUGGACCAAAAGAAGAACAUCAUGUUUGUAGUCAAGAUGACAGAUACAGUGAGAGCAACAGCUAACUCCAAAGGUGGCUUCACUGGAGAGAAAGAAAGUGUCUUGAGCAAGACAGUAUUGUCAGAAGAUCCCAGGAAAGUUCUAAUGUUCAUCAGCAGUUAUUAAUAAAGUUACUCAUACAGAAGUGUACGCAACAGACACUGCUUUUGAUUCUGUUUGUACUUUUUGGCCUGGGACAUGGGUUUUCAAGGGACAUCGUCUGUACCAGCUUCAUUAAAAUAAACAAUAUUU
rnacentral:lncRNA from 1 species